CUCCUCCUCCUCCUCCUCCCUCCUCCUCCUCCUCCUGCGCCGCUGCCGACACUGAAGCUCUCCCCGCCGCUAUCGACCAACUGCAAAGAUUCAUAGCCAUCGUAACUGGUCUUUUUCUUGUAGGCCCCCAGCAAGCUCAUUACCGACGGACACAGAAGAGGAGUUAAAAGACAAAAGGAGGCACCCGGAGGACGCGCCGAGGCUGCACCACCACCACCACCACCACCUCCUCCACCACAGAGCUGCUGCUUCUACAACUGCUGCUGCCGCCCAGUGCACCACAUGUCCGGGGAGGAGAGGAGAGGACAGGACGACCGGUCUCCUCUGCUUUUUGUGCCGUGACCCUUGGACGGAGCCGGACAAAACCCACUGACCACUGAUGGCAUGGUUCCUUCCUUGGCCUUGUCCCCUGGCAACGGAAACCGUGCAUGGUUCUGAAAAGAGGACAUGAGCCUGGGAAACUCUUUAAGCGGAGCAGACGGGAGCUCGGAGCGCAGCGUGGACGGAAUGUCCAGGAGGGAGGAAAGCGAGACCCGUCGCAUCCGGACCAAACGUGCUGCCGCUUCCUGCCUUGUUCUUAACUGUGCCGACCGAUAUUUACCCUUUGAUGCCCCUCAUGAGUGUGCACGUGCAACUUGGGCUUCAUAAUCACUGCCACGUGCAUAAUCACUGCUUGCACAUGAAGCCAAACACAUGGUCCUUGUAUGUUGUACACUUUUGUUUUAUUUGUUAUUGAUCUCACUAAGAUUUACUGAUUUGAUGAAGGUUAUUUAUACUGUGAUCAUGAAGAUGGAUGACAUGACUGCUUCCCAAAAGUGAAGCCAAAGCAUCUUGAGCGCCACCUGGUGCUUGGCUGCAGUAUAGGUCAUAAAUCACGCCUCCUCUGAGUUAGUGAAUGGGACACGGACCAAACUAAAAAGUCAAAGUACAAUUCAAAUUCAUUUUCUUAAAUAUAUUUUUUGUCAUUUUAGUUCGUUCUUAUCAAAUUCGUGUUUCUUCAAGUGUUUUAUUUUGAGUUUGGUUUCAUUUAGUUAUUUGAUACAAUAAAAUGCGGUGAACAGCAGGAUUGUACCUCGCUACUGCAGCUCCACCCCCCUAUUUGCAUUCAUAAGCAGACUUCUGCUAAAAAAAUGGAAAAGGUAAAUGGAAAAUAAAGAAAAUGUGUUGGCAAAUGUCAAA